UAGAGGAAGUAAAAGUCGUAACAAGGUUUCCGUAGGUGAACCUGCGGAAGGAUCAUUACAGUAGUCGCCCGGGUGCCGCAAGGCCUCCCGGGCAACCUACCACCCUUUGUUUAUUACACUUUGUUGCUUUGGCAGGCCUGCCCUCGGGCUGCUGGCUCCGGCCGGCGAGCGCCUGCCAGAGGACCUAAACUCUGUUUGUCUAUACUGUCUGAGUACUAUAUAAUAGUUAAAACUUUCAACAACGGAUCUCUUGGUUCUGGCAUCGAUGAAGAACGCAGCGAAAUGCGAUAAGUAAUGUGAAUUGCAGAAUUCAGUGAAUCAUCGAAUCUUUGAACGCACAUUGCGCCCCCUGGUAUUCCGGGGGGCAUGCCUGUCCGAGCGUCAUUACAACCCUCAAGCUCAGCUUGGUAUUGGGCCCCGCCGCUCCGGCGGGCCCUAAAGUCAGUGGCGGUGCCGUCCGGCUCCGAGCGUAGUAAUUCUUCUCGCUCUGGAGGUCCGGUCGUGUGCUCGCCAGCAACCCCCAAUUUUUUUCAGGUUGACCUCGGAUCAGGUAGGGAUACCCGCUGAACUUAAGCAUAUCA
rnacentral:rRNA from 1 species